CCAGACUCCUACGGGAGGCAGCAGUGGGGAAUAUUGCACAAUGGGCGCAAGCCUGAUGCAGCGACGCCGCGUGCGGGAUGACGGCCUUCGGGUUGUAAACCGCUUUUGACUGGGAGCAAGCCCUUCGGGGUGAGUGUACCUUUCGAAUAAGCACCGGCUAACUACGUGCCAGCAGCCGCGGUAAUACGUAGGGUGCAAGCGUUAUCCGGAAUUAUUGGGCGUAAAGGGCUCGUAGGCGGUUCGUCGCGUCCGGUGUGAAAGUCCAUCGCUUAACGGUGGAUCCGCGCCGGGUACGGGCGGGCUUGAGUGCGGUAGGGGAGACUGGAAUUCCCGGUGUAACGGUGGAAUGUGUAGAUAUCGGGAAGAACACCAAUGGCGAAGGCAGGUCUCUGGGCCGUCACUGACGCUGAGGAGCGAAAGCGUGGGGAGCGAACAGGAUUAGAUACCCUGGUAGUCCACGCCGUAAACGGUGGAUGCUGGAUGUGGGGACCAUUCCACGGUCUCCGUGUCGGAGCCAACGCGUUAAGCAUCCCGCCUGGGGAGUACGGCCGCAAGGCUAAAACUCAAAGAAAUUGACGGGGGCCCGCACAAGCGGCGGAGCAUGCGGAUUAAUUCGAUGCAACGCGAAGAACCUUACCUGGGCUUGACAUGUUCCCGACAGCCGUAGAGAUACGGUUUCCCUUCGGGGCGGGUUCACAGGUGGUGCAUGGUCGUCGUCAGCUCGUGUCGUGAGAUGUUGGGUUAAGUCCCGCAACGAGCGCAACCCUCGCCCUGUGUUGCCAGCACGUCGUGGUGGGAACUCACGGGGGACCGCCGGGGUCAACUCGGAGGAAGGUGGGGAUGACGUCAGAUCAUCAUGCCCCUUACGUCCAGGGCUUCACGCAUGCUACAAUGGCCGGUACAACGGGAUGCGACCUCGUGAGGGGGAGCGGAUCCCUUAAAACCGGUCUCAGUUCGGAUUGGAGUCUGCAACCCGACUCCAUGAAGGCGGAGUCGCUAGUAAUCGCGGAUCAGCAACGCCGCGGUGAAUGCGUUCCCGGGCCUUGUACACACCGCCCGUCAAGUCAUGAAAGUGGGUAGCACCCGAAGCCGGUGGCCCAACCUUUUUGGGGGGAGCCGUCUAAGGUGAGACUCGUGAUUGGGACUAAGUCGUAACAAGGUAGCCGUACCGGAAGGUGCGGCUG
rnacentral:rRNA from 2 species